rnacentral:rRNA from 1 species
GGUUAAGCGACUAAGCGUACACGGUGGAUGCCCCGGCAGUCAGAGGCGAUGAAGGACGUGCUAAUCUGCGAUAAGCGUCGGUAAGGUGAUAUGAACCGUUAUAACCGGCGAUUUCCGAAUGGGGAAACCCAGUGUGAUUCGUCACACUAUCAUUAACUGAAUCCAUAGGUUAAUGAGGCGAACCGGGGAACUGAAACAUCUAAGUACCCCGAGGAAAAGAAAUCAACCGAGAUUCCCCCAGUAGCGGCGAGCGAACGGGGAGCAGCCCAGAGCCUGAAUCAGUGUGUGUGUUAGUGGAAGCGUCUGGAAAGGCGCGCGAUACAGGGUGACAGCCCCGUACACAAAAAUGCACAUACUGUGAGCUCGAUGAGUAGGGCGGGACACGUGGUAUCCUGUCUGAAUAUGGGGGACCAUCCUCCAAGGCUAAAUACUCCUGACUGACCGAUAGUGAACCAGUACCGUGAGGGAAAGGCGAAAAGAACCCCGGCGAGGGGAGUGAAAAAGAACCUGAAACCGUGUACGUACAAGCAGUGGGAGCACAGAGCAAUCUGUGUGACUGCGUACCUUUUGUAUAAUGGGUCAGCGACUUAUAUUCUGUAGCAAGGUUAACCGAAUAGGGGAGCCGAAGGGAAACCGAGUCUUAACUGGGCGUUAAGUUGCAGGGUAUAGACCCGAAACCCGGUGAUCUAGCCAUGGGCAGGUUGAAGGUUGGGUAACACUAACUGGAGGACCGAACCGACUAAUGUUGAAAAAUUAGCGGAUGACUUGUGGCUGGGGGUGAAAGGCCAAUCAAACCGGGAGAUAGCUGGUUCUCCCCGAAAGCUAUUUAGGUAGCGCCUCGUGAAUUCAUCUCCGGGGGUAGAGCACUGUUUCGGCAAGGGGGUCAUCCCGACUUACCAACCCGAUGCAAACUGCGAAUACCGGAGAAUGUUAUCACGGGAGACACACGGCGGGUGCUAACGUCCGUCGUGAAGAGGGAAACAACCCAGACCGCCAGCUAAGGUCCCAAAGUCAUGGUUAAGUGGGAAACGAUGUGGGAAGGCCCAGACAGCCAGGAUGUUGGCUUAGAAGCAGCCAUCAUUUAAAGAAAGCGUAAUAGCUCACUGGUCGAGUCGGCCUGCGCGGAAGAUGUAACGGGGCUAAACCAUGCACCGAAGCUGCGGCAGCGACGCUGAUGCGUUGUUGGGUAGGGGAGCGUUCUGUAAGCCUGUGAAGGUGUGCUGUGAGGCAUGCUGGAGGUAUCAGAAGUGCGAAUGCUGACAUAAGUAACGAUAAAGCGGGUGAAAAGCCCGCUCGCCGGAAGACCAAGGGUUCCUGUCCAACGUUAAUCGGGGCAGGGUGAGUCGACCCCUAAGGCGAGGCCGAAAGGCGUAGUCGAUGGGAAACAGGUUAAUAUUCCUGUACUUGGUGUUACUGCGAAGGGGGGACGGAGAAGGCUAUGUUGGCCGGGCGACGGUUGUCCCGGUUUAAGCGUGUAGGCUGGUUUUCCAGGCAAAUCCGGAAAAUCAAGGCUGAGGCGUGAUGACGAGGCACUACGGUGCUGAAGCAACAAAUGCCCUGCUUCCAGGAAAAGCCUCUAAGCAUCAGGUAACAUCAAAUCGUACCCCAAACCGACACAGGUGGUCAGGUAGAGAAUACCAAGGCGCUUGAGAGAACUCGGGUGAAGGAACUAGGCAAAAUGGUGCCGUAACUUCGGGAGAAGGCACGCUGAUAUGUAGGUGAAGUCCCUCGCGGAUGGAGCUGAAAUCAGUCGAAGAUACCAGCUGGCUGCAACUGUUUAUUAAAAACACAGCACUGUGCAAACACGAAAGUGGACGUAUACGGUGUGACGCCUGCCCGGUGCCGGAAGGUUAAUUGAUGGGGUCAGCGCAAGCGAAGCUCUUGAUCGAAGCCCCGGUAAACGGCGGCCGUAACUAUAACGGUCCUAAGGUAGCGAAAUUCCUUGUCGGGUAAGUUCCGACCUGCACGAAUGGCGUAAUGAUGGCCAGGCUGUCUCCACCCGAGACUCAGUGAAAUUGAACUCGCUGUGAAGAUGCAGUGUACCCGCGGCAAGACGGAAAGACCCCGUGAACCUUUACUAUAGCUUGACACUGAACAUUGAGCCUUGAUGUGUAGGAUAGGUGGGAGGCUUUGAAGUGUGGACGCCAGUCUGCAUGGAGCCGACCUUGAAAUACCACCCUUUAAUGUUUGAUGUUCUAACGUUGACCCGUAAUCCGGGUUGCGGACAGUGUCUGGUGGGUAGUUUGACUGGGGCGGUCUCCUCCUAAAGAGUAACGGAGGAGCACGAAGGUUGGCUAAUCCUGGUCGGACAUCAGGAGGUUAGUGCAAUGGCAUAAGCCAGCUUGACUGCGAGCGUGACGGCGCGAGCAGGUGCGAAAGCAGGUCAUAGUGAUCCGGUGGUUCUGAAUGGAAGGGCCAUCGCUCAACGGAUAAAAGGUACUCCGGGGAUAACAGGCUGAUACCGCCCAAGAGUUCAUAUCGACGGCGGUGUUUGGCACCUCGAUGUCGGCUCAUCACAUCCUGGGGCUGAAGUAGGUCCCAAGGGUAUGGCUGUUCGCCAUUUAAAGUGGUACGCGAGCUGGGUUUAGAACGUCGUGAGACAGUUCGGUCCCUAUCUGCCGUGGGCGCUGGAGAACUGAGGGGGCUGCUCCUAGUACGAGAGGACCGGAGUGGACGCAUCACUGGUGUUCGGGUUGUCAUGCCAAUGGCACUGCCCGGUAGCUAAAUGCGGAAGAGAUAAGUGCUGAAAGCAUCUAAGCACGAAACUUGCCCCGAGAUGAGUUCUCCCUGACCCUUUAAGGGUCCUGAAGGAACGUUGAAGACGACGACGUUGAUAGGCCGGGUGUGUAAGCGCAGCGAUGCGUUGAGCUAACCGGUACUAAUGAACCGUGAGGCUUAACCUU